rnacentral:misc_RNA from 1 species
AAAACCAUCUCACGGAUAGUGUGGUAUUGGUAGAAGUAGGUAGUAUUAGUAGUACUUGAUCUUACUCUACCGAAAUGAAUAGGCCAGAAAAGUGAACCAUGGUAACAGACUCUCAGAGUGUUUUAAAAUGCUAUACUAGUCUAAGUCUGGUUUGAAUCUGAGUCUGUGGACCCCUAUAUAGUUCAAACAAAAGA